rnacentral:rRNA from 1 species
UACGGAGGGUGCAAGCGUUGCUCGGAAUUAUUGGGCGUAAAGGGUAGGUAGGUGGUCUCGUUUGUCUGGGGUGAAAGCCUUGAGCUUAACUCAAGAAGUGCCCCAGAAACGGCGAGACUAGAGUCCUGGAGAGGGUCGUGGAAUUCCCGGUGUAGCGGUGAAAUGCGUAGAGAUCGGGAGGAACACCAGAGGCGAAGGCGGCGACCUGGACAGGUACUGACACUCAACUACGAAAGCGUGGGGAGCAAACAGG